rnacentral:rRNA from 1 species
CCGUAACUAUAACGGUCCUAAGGUAGCGAAAUUCCUUGUCGGGUAAGUUCCGACCCGCACGAAAGGCGUAAUGAUUUGGGCACUGUCUCGACAAUGCACCCGGUGAAAUUGAAAUACCAGUGAAGAUGCUGGUUACCUGCGCCAGGACGGAAAGACCCCAUGGAGCUUUACUCCAGCUUGAUACUGGGAUUCGGUAUUGCAUGUACAGGAUAGGUGGGAGGCUAGGAAAUGGUAACGCCAGUUGCCAUGGAGCCAAUGUUGGGAUACCACCCUUGCAGUACUGGGUUUCUAACCAGCAGCCGUGAUCCGGCUGGGGGACAAUGUCAGGUGGGGAGUUUGACUGGGGCGGUCGCCUCCGAAAGGGUAUCGGAGGCGCUCAAAGGUUCCCUCAGAAUGGUUGGAAACCAUUCGAAGAGUGCAAAGGCAGAAGGGAGCUUGACUGCGACACCGACGGGUGGAGCAGGUACGAAAGUAGGACUUAGUGAUCCGGUGGUAUGAAAGUGGGAUUGCCAUCGCUCAACGGAUAAAAGCUACCCUGGGGAUAACAGGCUUAUCACUCCCAAGAGUUCACAUCGACGGAGUGGUUUGGCACCUCGAUGUCGGCUCAUCGCAUCCUGGGGCUGUAGUAGGUCCCAAGGGUUGGGCUGUUCGCCCAUUAAAGCGGUACGCGAGCUGGGUUCAGAACGUCGUGAGACAGUUCGGUCCCUAUCCGGCGUGGGCGUAGGAUAUUUGAGAGGAGCUGUCCUUAGUACGAGAGGACCGGGAUGGACUGGCCGCUGGUGUAUCUGUUGUCUUACCAAAGGCAUAGCAGAGUAGCCAAGCCGGGAAGGGAUAAACGCUGAAGGCAUCUAAGCGUGAAGCCCCCCUCAAGAUGAGAUAUCCCAUAACGUAAGUUAGUAAGACCCCUUGAAGACGACGAGGUAGAUAGGCAGAAGGUGGAAGUGUGGUGACAUAUGGAGCUGAUCUGUACUAAUAGGUCGAGGGCUUAACCAA